rnacentral:rRNA from 1 species
AGUGAACGCUGGCGGUAGGCCUAACACAUGCAAGUCGAACGGCAGCACAGUAAGAGCUUGCUCUUACGGGUGGCGAGUGGCGGACGGGUGAGGAAUACAUCGGAAUCUACUUUUUCGUGGGGGAUAACGUAGGGAAACUUACGCUAAUACCGCAUACGACCUAAGGGUGAAAGCAGGGGAUCUUCGGACCUUGCGCGAUUGAAUGAGCCGAUGUCGGAUUAGCUAGUUGGCGGGGUAAAGGACCACCAAGGCGACGAUCCGUAGCUGGUCUGAGAGGAUGAUCAGCCACACUGGAACUGAGACACGGUCCAGACUCCUACGGGAGGCAGCAGUGGGGAAUAUUGGACAAUGGGCGCAAGCCUGAUCCAGCCAUACCGCGUGGGUGAAGAAGGCCUUCGGGUUGUAAAGCCCUUUUGUUGGGAAAGAAAAGCAGCAGGUUAAUACCCCGCUGUUCUGACGGUACCCAAAGAAUAAGCACCGGCUAACUUCGUG